GCCCUUUUAAUUAAUUGUUGUUUGAAAAAAGAGAGGAUCAUUGUGGUAAUUAAAUUAACAAAAUAAUAAUUAUUAUUAUGAUUUCUUUCUCCUUACUUUCUUCGCUUCCUAAACAAGAGAAGAGAAAGUACACUUUCUCCACCUUCAUUCUCACUCCCUAUUCCCUUCACUUUCUCUACCUUCAUUUUCUUUCCCCUCUUACAUUUUUCCCCAAACAAAGGGCUAAUCAUUGUUUUGCUGCCAUUUAUCAUUGUCCCUCAUUCAAUUAGACACAAACAAUGCUUUCAUCAUGUAAAGAUCUACAUGAGGAUUUAUUUUCAGGGAAAGUCAAGGUUGGUGAGCCCUAUAUAGUCUCAAACAAUCUCAUUGUGCUUGAUUCGGACGGAUUGUUUUUAAUGUGGUUAUUUACUUUGGUCUCAAGCAUCAAUGAUAACCAUUU
rnacentral:misc_RNA from 1 species